CAUGCAAGUCGUACGGUGUAGCAAUACACAGUGGCGCACGGGUGAGUAAUGCAUCGCUAAUGUACCCUGGGGUCUGGGAUAGCCAGUCGAAAGAUUGGGUAAUACCAGAUGAGACCACGAACAGGCAUCUGUUUGUGCUCAAAGGGCAACUGCCCUGGGAUCAGGCGAUGUGGUAUCAGGUAGUUGGUGAGGUAACGGCUCACCAAGCCUUCGACGCCUAGCCGGACUGAGAGGUCGGUCGGCCACAUCGGGACUGAGACACUGCCCGGACUCCUACGGGGGGCUGCAGUAACGAAUCUUCCGCAAUGCACGCAAGUGUGACGGAGCGACGCCGCGUGUGGGACGAAGUCCUUCGGGAUGUAAACCACUGUCAAGAGUAAGAAAGUUCUGAUCUACUCUAAAGGAAGGGGCGACUAACUCUGUGCCAGCAGUCGCGGUAAUACAGAGGCCCCAAGCGUUAGGCGGAAUCACUGGGCUUAAAGCGUGUGUAGGCGGGUUGGUAAGUACUUUGUGAAAUCCCACGGCUUAACUGUGGAACUGCUUAGUAUACUGCCGAUCUUGAGUCAUUUAGGGGCAGCCGGAACAGAUGGUGGAGCGGUGAAAUGCGUAGAUAUCAUCUGGAACGCCAAUGGUGCAGACAGGCUGCUGGGAAUGAACUGACGCUGAGGCACGAAAGCCAGGGGAGCGAACGGGAUUAGAUACCCCGGUAGUCCUGGCCCUAAACGAUGUCUACUAGAUCGUGGCGGCACUGACGCCGUCAUGGUCGAAGCAAAAGUGUUAAGUAGACCGCCUGGGAAGUACGGUCGCAAGGCUAAAACUCAAAAGAAUUGACGG
rnacentral:rRNA from 1 species